GAUGAACGCUGGCGGCGUGCCUAAUACAUGCAAGUCGAGCGAAUGGAUUAAGAGCUUGCUCUUAUGAAGUUAGCGGCGGACGGGUGAGUAACACGUGGGUAACCUGCCCAUAAGACUGGGAUAACUCCGGGAAACCGGGGCUAAUACCGGAUAACAUUUUGAACCGCAUGGUUCGAAAUUGAAAGGCGGCUUGGGCUGUCACUUAUGGAUGGACCCGCGUCGCAUUAGCUAGUUGGUGAGGUAACGGCUCACCAAGGCAACGAUGCGUAGCCGACCUGAGGGGCUGAUCGGCCACACUGGGACUGGGACACGGCCCAGACUCCUACGGGAGGCAGCAGUAGGGAAUCCUCCGCAAUGGACGAAAGUCUGACGGAGCAACGCCGCGUGAGUGAUGAAGGCUUUCGGGUCGUAAAACUCUGUUGUUAGGGAAGAACAAGUGCUAGUUGAAUAAGCUGGCACCUUGACGGUACCUAACCAGAAAGCCACGGCUAACUACGUGCCAGCCGCCGCGGUAA
rnacentral:rRNA from 1 species